rnacentral:ncRNA from 1 species
UAAAAUAAAUAGAUUAUUGGUGCUCUGCUUUGUGGAGGUAAAAGGGAAAGCGGUGAAAAUCCGCUACAGCCCCCGCUACUGUAAUGGAGGACGAAUCUAAUAUGCCACUGGCAUUUGCUGGGAAGGUUAGAGGAGAAUGAUGCCUAAGUCAGGAAACCUGCCAAUAAUCUUAGAAAAAU